rnacentral:rRNA from 1 species
UACGAAGGGGGCUAGCGUUGUUCGGAAUCACUGGGCGUAAAGCGCGCGUAGGCGGACUGUUAAGUCAGGGGUGAAAGCCCGGGGCCCAACCCCGGAAUUGCCUUUGAAACUAUCAGUCUGGAGACUCGGAGGGGAUAGCGGAAUUCCAAUUGUAGGGGUGAAAUCCGUAGAUAUUUGGAGGAACACCGGUGGCGAAGGCGGCUAUCUGGACGUGUACUGACGCUGAGGCGCGAAAGCGUGGGGAGCAAACAGG